GUAUAGUACGCUAGAUCGAGCAUGCGCUCAGUCGUCGUGGAAGGUGGUCCUUGAUUCAGCGGCGGACGGGUGAGUAAUGCCUAGGAAUCUGCCUGGUAGUGGGGGACAACGUUUCGAAAGGAACGCUAAUACCGCAUACGUCCUACGGGAGAAAGCAGGGGACCUUCGGGCCUUGCGCUAUCAGAUGAGCCUAGGUCGGAUUAGCUAGUUGGUGGGGUAAUGGCUCACCAAGGCGACGAUCCGUAACUGGUCUGAGAGGAUGAUCAGUCACACUGGAACUGAGACACGGUCCAGACUCCUACGGGAGGCAGCAGUGGGGAAUAUUGGACAAUGGGCGAAAGCCUGAUCCAGCCAUGCCGCGUGUGUGAAGAAGGUCUUCGGAUUGUAAAGCACUUUAAGUUGGGAGGAAGGGCAGUAAGCUAAUACCUUGCUGUUUUGACGUUACCGACAGAAUAAGCACCGGCUAACUCUGUGCCAGCAGCCGCGGUAAUACAGAGGGUGCAAGCGUUAAUCGGAAUUACUGGGCGUAAAGCGCGCGUAGGUGGUUUGUUAAGUUGGAUGUGAAAGCCCCGGGCUCAACCUGGGAACUGCAUCCAAAACUGGCAAGCUAGAGUACGGUAGAGGGUGGUGGAAUUUCCUGUGUAGCGGUGAAAUGCGUAGAUAUAGGAAAGAACACCAGUGGCGAAGGGCGACCACCUGGACUGAUACUGACACUGAGGUGCGAAAGCGUGGGGAGCAAACAGGAUUAGAUACCCUGGGUAGUCCACGCCGUAAACGAUGUCAACUAGCCGUUGGAAUCCUUGAGAUUUUAGUGGCGCAGCUAACGCAUUAAGUUGACCGCCUGGGGGAGUACGGGCCGCAAGGUUAAAACUCAAAUGAAUUGACCG
rnacentral:rRNA from 1 species